ensembl:lncRNA
GUUCAAAGCUGUUCCAACUUGUGGGGGAGUAUAGCUGUAGCGUGCUGGGUUUACUGUAGGCUGUCAUUCAAAGCAAAUCAAAGACCAGGGCUUAACAAAUGGGUCAUUAGGAAGCAGUAUAUUUAUUAUCAUUUUCCUUUAUUCAUUUAGGUAAACAUCUCAUUAAGAUUAAAACCUCUUUCAUGAGAGACCUGGCCAACAGGGCAGCAGAAGUUACAAUAAAUACAUACACAUAACACUAUAUCAAGCAAAGAAACAAGUACUAUAGCUUAAAAUUUUAACCACAAAUUGAAUCUGACAGUGUGUUAAAUAACAUUUUUUUUCAAAUAAAUAUUUGUUACUUUAGUUUUCUUGACAGCUAAACAUAUUAAUUUUCCAACAACAGAUUUCAUUGCCAUAUUGAAGUGCUACUUACAUUAUAUUUGAUUUUUAGAUGUUCAACAAUAAUUUGCUGAUAGUAUGAAGUGUUGACUCUGUCUCCCAGUUACUUGGCAGAAAAUUCUGUCUUUCUGUAGGCUGGUUUGCAGCAUUGUGUAUGUUUUCUACAGGUGUUAUCUUUUAUUUUGGUUGUAAAUUAUGCAGACGUUGUUUGUAUGGGUAAAAUAGUUAUAAUGUACAAGCCACUUAUGUCUAAAAGUAUAGUUGGAAGAGAAACCUCAGUAAAACGAACUAAGUAAAUGUGUGGUUAUUAGUUUACUCUGGCCCACCUUUUAUUCAUAAAGUGAGUGAUGUUUUAGCAGAAGUCUAUCAGCCACUAGAGGGGAGAAGAUCGAGUGGCAGUCCUUGCAUGUUAGCAGUCAGUAGCCAGAUUACACACCUAGCGCAUGUAGACAGGAGUUGUAAUUCUUUACUCCAUUGUUCACCUUCCUCUCAGCUCUGGUUGAGUCUCCUCCAUAAAUUAAACUGGAUUUGUGGCUGUUUAAUGUUUGUGUCUUUGUUUUUUGCCUGUCUGCCGUUUGGUGAAAUUGUUUGGGCUGGCCAGAGCAGCAAGACCAAACCGGGUAGUAAAUGUGCCGUAAAACCAAAACUAAAGCUGAAAGAGGCUAAAAAGCUCCGUACCAUGCUGCAUAAUUGUGAGUUCUCUGUGAGUGUCAGUUUUUAACAUAGUCAUGUCAAGUUUUCGUUGAAAGAAAUUGAUGAAAAUGAAUUAUGAGGCAAAACAUGACAUGCAGUUGCUUAACUACUUUAACUAGAUGACAUGCAACUUAUUAGGACUAAUAAAGUUAGGGAAAUUGCUUCAAUAUUGAUUAACUUUACAAUCGCAAUCGCAGCUCGGGUCAAACAGAUUGACACUAAAAGUCUUUGUAUCUGAGAUCUGAACACAUCUCCAAAUGGGCAAGAAUUUUCCUCAACCAAUGCCUUUAAUUGUCACAAUCUUCUAGGACAAAUUGUCGGUUUUUACCUGAACCCUUCUUCCAAUAUUACUCAUCGUGUCUUCAUUUCAGUCCCACCCCCUCCCUUUUCUUUUUUUCUUUUUUUUAAAUCUUCCGUCCAUCUCUUGCUGUUUUUGACCGUCAUUUUCUCCAUGAACCUAUCGUGUCUUAAGUGUUGUUUUUAAAUUCACUUUGAAAGUUUACACUGUUUGCGGUCAUGUUGUGCCUGUUAUAAUAACUCUUCUGUCUGAUCCUCUGUAAAGUUUGUGAGCUACUGAAUAUUUUAAUGCAUUAUUGAUUAUAGAUUAUAAAUCAGAGGCAAAAGAGAACAGAAGUCAGAUGUUUUGGGUUUUUUUGUGUAUGUCAGAUUUAUCAAAACAACAAAUCAAUCUAAGUACCUCUAAGAGCUUUUAUUUUUGGAUCUCCUGUGUGUGAAUUCUCUCUGAUGCCUGCGGUUUGUACUCGUUCGUUCAGUUUUCAAUGUGUGUAUCGAUGCCUGUGUGUUUGUUGCACUGUCAGCAUGUUUGACAGUAUGAGAACGGAUUGACCUGUUCAGUGUUUCUGAUGCAGGAGCUGCAAAACAUUUGUUGGUUUUAUCCAGUUUUUUUUUUUUUUGUUUGUUUGGUUUUUUUUUUGUUUUGUUUUUUUGGCUUUGUUUGCUUUUGUUUUGCUUCUUUUCUUUUUUUUCCCGACAUGUCAGCUGCGACUUGAUACAGAUGGCCACUGCGUCUUAUAGUCAGCUAAAAUGCAUUAUAAAGGUAUCUGAUACCAACCACGGUGUGGUGUUUCUGUCUGGAGGAGGAAGUUGCAAAUACAUUUAUCAUUGCACAUUUAUGUUAAUAUUUUAGUUUCCUUGAUAAAUUGCUCACGAAUUAAACUUACAUAUAUGCAUUUUUAUCUUGUGGAAGCAGACGUGAUUGGCCUAUUAUAUACACUUCUCUGAAUUUUGCCUGUGGGAAUGUGACUGUCUUGACUGUACUUAUUCUACUAAGUUUACAUUUUCUGCCUUUUGUUUUUUUUUUUAAACAAAUCUCUUUCCCCAUGAAAAAAAAACCUUUCAGAAGUGCUCCAAAGCUUGAUAAAUUAUAACAGUGUGUGAUGCAGCAUAAUCCAGCUAAAGUUUAAAAUGUUCCUCCAAGUUGAUGUUUGAAAAUAUAUUUCAUGUAUCAAUCUUUUCAUGUAGUUUGUAUGACUUUGAUGGAUAUAUACUCUUUCGGAAAUCAUUAACCUGAAUUCAAAAACUCCACUAGGUUCACAAGAAACUGUUCUCACCACACUCGGCAGAGCAGUGUCACCACAGGCCAGGAAAACCUUGUUCCUCACAACAACAAACAAAACAAAACCCAAAGUCAGUCCAGUCAUUGAAUCUUCUGGACAGGAAUGCCCUGCCGUGGUGUUGACUAUCAGACCAAAAUCAAGAUUUUAUGGUGAAAUAACCAAACCUGCCUGAACAUUUGACCAAAACUUUGAGAAUUUUUUUUUUGUGAAUCAUUUUCUUUUGUCAUGAUUUUACUUGUGUUGCCUUUGACACGAUGCUAGUUUUGUUUGUAACAGUUAUAAAAUGUAAAAAGGAACAAACAAAAAAAAAAAGCAAAAAGGUUUUGAGAGUGUAAUAAGCCGGAACUGAACGUGUAUGUAUUGAUGAGUAUCUUUGUCAGUUGUUUGCAUUUUAUCUAGCCGAAGCGUUUGUUAUAGAUUGACUUUGCAACUUGAGAGCUGAUUAAAAAUGAACUUAGUACUAUAAUAACUUUCUGAUGUUUUUGUCUUUGAUUUGUAGUCAUGCUAGGUUAAUUGAUACAAAUAGGAGUUUGUUAAUGCUUUGUGAAUCACGUCCUCAUAGAUAUCACUGAGCUUCUUUCAGGGGGAGAAGCUGGAAGUCCCCAGUUUGGUGAACUUGUUUAUAUUUCCUUGAAGUAAAGACUACUUUUUUCUUUCUUUCGUCACUUAUAAGCAUAGAAAUGUCUAGCUUCAUAAUGGUAAAUCAUGCAAUGGCAGAACCUACCAUUCAUGGGUUUUUUUUUGUUUUUUCAACAUUACAUUAGCUCUUGUAAUUCAGUGCUAAUAAAUGUGUAAUUAAUAUUUAACUGUUUAAAAACAUUGGCCACUUUACUUAUUACCUACACAAACUAGAAAAUGUGACAAAG